rnacentral:rRNA from 1 species
AACAAACGCUGGCGGCGUGCCUAACACAUGCAAGUCGUGCGAGAAAGUCCCCUUCGGGGGGCGAGUAAAGCGGCGGAGGGGUGAGUAACACGUGGGUAACCUGCCCUCGGGAUCGGGAUAACGUGCCGAAAGGUGCGCUAAUACCGGAUAAGACCACGCGGACGAUGUCCGAGCGGUCAAAGAUGGCCUCUCGACGAAGCUAUUACCUGGGGAUGGGCCCGCGGCCUAUUAGCUUGUUGGUAGGGUAACGGCCUACCAAGGCUCUGGUGGGUAGCCGGCCUGAGAGGGUGGACGGCCACACUGGAACGGAGACACGGUCCAGACUCCUACGGGAGGCAGCAGUGGGGAAUUUUGCACAAUGGGGGAAACCCUGACGCAGCAACGCCGCGUGAGUGAUGGAGGCCUUCGGGUCGUAAAGCUCUUUUGGAGGGAGAGAAAUGUGUCGUGGCUAACAUCCACAGCAUUUGACGGUACCCUCAGAAAAAGUUCCGGCUAACUCCGUGCCAGCAGCCGCCGUAAAAC